CUCCAGUUAGCCUAGUGGUUAAGGCUACGGAUCGUUAAUCCGAAGUCGGCGGGUUCGAUUCCCGUUCUGGUCG
rnacentral:tRNA from 1 species